AGGGAACUUGUACUUGAUGGUGUUAGCCAUGGUCAUAGGUGCAUUUUACAAGUGUGGCAGAUAAGAGGAUAGGAAUCCUGGGGAAAGAUUCACUUACAUUCAGAAGACUUGAGUUCUAAUCUCAGCAUCACAGCUCGCCACAGUUUAGGCCAGUCACGUGACUCCAGAAACAGAAGUUUCUGUUAUUUAUAAACUAGAAAUAAUGACACUUGGCCUGACCCCUAUGGAGCUGUGGUGAGGAUCAAACAAGUUGAGACAAGAUUUUCUGAAAGUACUGUGCAAACUUUCAGCCCGUAAAUAUUAAGGGACUGUUAUCACGUACUGCUCAGGAAAUAACAGCACCUGGGAAAACCCACAGAGCGUGGUUUUGUAAGAAGUUGCUCAGCCCUCAAGGGAGAAAAUGCCAGGCUCAACAUUGGCCAAGAGGAACAGAUCUGGGAAAUUACAACAUGAGAACAGUCAUCUUACCCAGAGUCCAGUUCGGGGAGUCAUUGUGCUUUCCCAGAAAGAUCCUGAUUCUCUCGGUUUAAACCUGAGCUUUGUGACUUUCCAGUUGAGUUGGGAGGUGGAGAAAGGACUCUGUUCAUGUAGUCGUUCAUGGACCUAGGAUGAAGACAACUCUAUCUUCUUCAUUACAUGCCUUACAUGGACGCUCCAGUUACCAGCAUUGCAAGCAGCGGAAGGAGAAAGGAUCUCAUAACAUGUUAUACAUCAGACCCAGAAAGAAAACAGCAAUCAUUUCUGCAUACUUGAUAUUGGCUAAAACCUAGUCAUGUGGCCCCAGAUAAAUGAAGAGAAGCUUGAUAAAUGUGGUCUAGUGAAAGAGGAGAAGGUAUUUUGAUAGGUAGUUACCAGUCUCCACCACAGUUAUUGACAUUUAAAACCUACAGUUUACACACACACACACACACACACACACACACACACACCAAUGUCUAAGUUCUACCAAAUGGAAAUAUCUGGAAAUUUUGGUUGAACGCCACAUGGCAACAAUUUCCUAGAGUCAGGUUGUAGUUUCCCUUUGCAAAGUGCAUGCUCACUCUGGUUGCUGUCAUUCUCACCACUUGUGUUUUGCCCCAAAUCCAAUCCUACUUUACUUCAACUAGACAUGAUCAACACAUGCUUGAAGAGAUUAUAGUUGGGUGUUCUCUUAGCUAAUGUCAUUAGGACCAAUAUUUGUUUAGUUCAUCAAAAAAAAAAUAAAAAUAGGCAAAUCAGGGAAUAAUAGUUAAAACAAAAAAGUUUUUUUUGGAUGUUCUAUACUAUCCUAAAGCGUAUUAAUUUACUUUUAUUUGUUACAUUUAUAAUCUUGGGUCAAAGUCUUUUCUUUAAAUAUGUCUGCCAAUUGGAUCUUAGAGUUAUCUUUUUUUGUACAAAUCUCACACAUAAUAACAUCCUUACAACAUUCUUCUGUCCUUAAGGGAGAAUUUAAAGACAUUUUGAUCAUGAUUUUCUGAGGGAAAAAUCCUUCAGGUUUUGAUGAUUUUCUCCCUGUCAUUGCCAAUUGUCUCAUUCAUACCUAACUCUUAGUGACUUGCCUUUACUGAAUUGCUCCAAAAUAUUCAAAUUAGUUAUCAUAGAAACAAUAACUUAUUUUUAUUUUACACUCAUAUUUCAUUGGGUAAAAUAUUUAAAAAAAUCAUGUAAUUAUAAUAACAAGUACAUCUGUCAUAAAUAAGUUUGAAGACGAACACAACUGACUCUUGGUAAAUAUAUUAUUUAAAAUACAGGUUAAGUUGCUAUAAUAAAUAAAUCCAACAGAGUGGCUUUAAUAUGGCAGAAAUAAAUUUUCAGAGAACAGUUCAAAAUCAGAUGACUCUAAACAAUAACCCCUGAGGUGUUUUUUUCUUUUUCUUUUUUUUAACUUUUUAAAAAAAUGUUUAUUUAUUUUUGAGAGAGAGACAGAGUGUGAGUGGGGAAGGGGCAGAGAGAAACACACACACAGAAUCUGAAGCAGGCUCCAGGCUCUGAGCUGUCAGCAUGGAGCCUGAUGCAGGGCUCAAACUCACCAGCUGUGAGAUUAUGACCUGAGCCGUAGCCGGACCCUUAACCGGCUGAGCCACCCAAGCGCCCCUGGGUGUUUUCUUUUCUUGCUUAGUUAAAGGUGAACUAUGCUACGCCUACAUUCCAGUGCACACAAGGGGAGUGGAGGAAGGGGCAAGGAGAGAGUCCAAUGCAAACAGUAUUAUGUUUAAGAAGACACCCUGAAGUUAAACUUGCCAUUGUUACUCACAUUCUACUGGCCCAAAACUAGUCACAUGGCCUUACAUAGCUGCAAGAUGGCUGGAAAAUGUAGUCCAGAGCUGCCCAUGUAUCUAGAUCAAGGGGGAACAUCUGCUACAUAAAGGAAGAAGGAGAUAAUGAAUUCUUGACACUAGCAGCCUCUGAUCCCAUAAACAAAUAAAGUAAUUAGCAGAAAUAGAAGUCAGUCUUGUGUAAUGUAUCAGCUUUUGCUGCAUAGCACAUCUUCCCAAACUUCGUUAACUUGAAACAACAAACAUCUAUUGUCCACCUGAUUCUGGGUUAGUUGAGUACUUCGGACCUGGCUAGCUUAACUGGGGCUCCUAAGAUGGUCUCACUAGGGUAACUUGUUUCGAAUAAAACAUGGUUUCUCUCCUCUAACAGACCAGCCCAGGCUUCUUUUCAUAGAUAUCUCAGAAUUCCAUAAAGCUGCAAGAAUGCAAACUCCAAAAGCAUAAGCAAUUUUCAAGCCUCUGCUUGCACCCAUUUGCUAAAGUUCCACUGACCAAGGCGGUCACAUGGAUAUCCUCCAGAUGCAAGGAGUGGAAAGAGAGACCGGCUCACCAUGGAAGAGGGCAGCUGGAUCACUUUGCAAUGAAGAGUACAUGUAGGGAAAUAUUGUGAUGGUGUCUGCAAUGGACCAUAACAAAGAAGCAAUUUAUUAACUUGGAAAAUUCAAUUUUUUUUUAUAGAGAACAUAGGGAGUGUUGGUUAUUCAGGCUAGUCUGUUAAAUGAGUAUCAGCCAGUAGCCCUUCUCAAUUUGCUAUGAUAUUCAGUCCUCAAAGGAGAAACAAUUUCUUACCUUUACUCCUACUUAGGAAUAGGAAGAAGUUUUCCUACUGGAGGACAAACUUCAAUGAAAAAGUUGAUUACCUACAUACAUUGAGGUUAAGAACUAUUUUCAUUAGAAGAUGUAAAAAACAUGCCAAGCACAUAAAUAAACAUGUCAAGCACAGAUCGUCCAUGCAGCACCUUUAACUAAACUCGGUUAUACAAAAUCAAUAAAAUAAAACCAGUAAAAUGAAUAACUUAAUAGAAAUACAGGGGUGAGGGGAGGAGGACUACCUGAGUAUCAUUUCACAGAAGAAGAAACUCAGAGGCCAAUAGACAUGAAUAAAAGGUCAGUUUUGUAAGACACGGAGGAAGGGCAAGCUGAACUCUCAGAUACCCUUUCAACUCUACAAAUUGGCAAAUAUCAAAAAGCCAGGCAAUAAUGAACGUUGUAAAGGAUAUAAAGCAAUAACAACUCAUGUAUUUUGGAAAGGAAAUAGUAUAAAUAGUUUGGAAAGCGAUUUGGCACUAUUUUGUAGAGUUAAAAAUGUGCAUAUCCUAUGACCCAGAAAAUCCCUCGUAGAUAAACACAGUAAUCUUUGCUCAUGUACACCAGGAAACACGUACAAUAAUGUUCACAGCAGCCAUGUAUAUAAAAGUGAAUGUCUGGAAACAAACUUAAAGUUUAUUGACAUGAGAAUAUGUAAAACUUUGUUUUGUCUUCUUUAUACCAUGUCAAUUAUACAGCUGUGAAAAUCAGUAAACAAUAGCUACAAACACCAAUGUGAGUGAAAAAUUUAUUUUCAGCCGGAUAAUACGGUGGGAGUACCUUUAUAAAAAUUUUUCAAAUAUGCAACUCAUACAAAAGCAAUAUACGGCUUAGGGUAUGUGUAUGUCAUAAGAAAUAUUGAACAAAAAACGGGAUGUAAAAAUUCCAGGGUAGUGGUGUGGGGGACCGGAUGAGAUACAUGGUAAGGGUAAUGCAGUAUUUCAUUAUAUUAUUCUUGAUAACUUACAUAUACAUUAAAUGUAUUCUUUGUAUAUGUGUAUAUCUUUUGCUUUAAAAAGGAGAAUCAUGGCAUAUGGGCUGGUAUCACAGUUUUUGUUUAUUUGUUUGUUUAUUUAUUUUUAAGUUUAUUCAUUUUGAGAGAGACAGAGACAGCAUGAAUGGGGGGUGCAGAACGAUAGGGAGAGAAAGAGAGAGAGAGAGAGAGAGAGAGAGAGAGAACCCCAAGCAGACUUUUCACUGUCAGCACAGAGUUGGACGUGGGGCUCGAACCCACGAAACUGUGAGAUCAUGACCUGAGCCAAAACUGAGAGUCAGAUGCUGAUCUGACUGGGCCACCCAGGUACCCCUCACUACAAUUUUUAAUUAAGAUUUCUUAAAAUAUUCCACUAAGCACCCAUUACUCCUGAGGGUCUGGGAAUAGAACCUUUGCUGUAAGUAAGCACACAAUAUCUU